GAUGAACGCUAGCUACAGGCUUAACACAUGCAAGUCGAGGGGUAACGAGAGGAAAGCUUGCUUUCCUUGUCGACGACCGGCGCACGGGUGAGUAACGCGUAUCCAACCUGCCCCCAACUAGGGAAUAACCUUGCGAAAGUAAGACUAAUACCCUAUAAUUUCCUCAGAUGUCAUCUGACGAGGAAUAAAGAUUUAUCGGUUGUGGAUGGGGAUGCGUCUGAUUAGCUUGUUGGCGGGGUAACGGCCCACCAAGGCAACGAUCAGUAGGGGGUCUGAGAGGAAGGUCCCCCACGUGGGAACUGAGACACGGUCCAAACUCCUACGGGAGGCAGCAGUGAGGAAUAUUGGUCAAUGGGCGGAAGCCUGAACCAGCCAAGUAGCGUGCAGGAUGACGGCCCUAUGGGUUGUAAACUGCUUUUAUACAGGAAUAAAGUUAGCCACGUGUGGUUAUUUGUAGGUACUGUAUGAAUAAGGACCGGCUAAUUCCGUGCCAGCAGCCGCAGUAA
rnacentral:rRNA from 1 species